UACGGAGGGUGCGAGCGUUGUCCGGAAUCACUGGGCGUAAAGGGUGCGUAGGCGGCCGUGCAAGUCUGGCGUGAAAGCCCCGGGCUCAGCCCGGGAAGUGCGCUCGAAACUGCGCGGCUCGAGUGCCGGAGGGGAGAGUGGAAUUCCUGGUGUAGCGGUGAAAUGCGUAGAUAUCAGGAGGAAUACCGGUGGCGAAAGCGACUCUCUGGACGGCAACUGACGCUGAGGCACGAAAGCGUGGGGAGCAAACAGG
rnacentral:rRNA from 1 species